rnacentral:rRNA from 1 species
AAUGGGGGAAACCCUGACGCAGCGAUGCCGCGUGAGUGAAGAAGGCCUUAGGGUUGUAAAACUCUUUCAGUGGUGAAGAUAAUGACGGUAACCACAGAAGAAGCUCCGGCUAACUCCGUGCCAGCAGCCGCGGUAAUACGGAGGGGGCUAACGUUGUUCGGAAUUACUGGGCGUAAAGCGCGCGUAGGCGGAUUAGACAGUUGAGGGUGAAAUCCCGGAGCUUAACUUCGGGACUGCCCCCAAUACUACUAAUCUAGAGUUCGGAAGGGGUGAGUGGAAUUCCUAGUGUAGAGGUGAAAUUCGUAGAUAUUAGGAAGAACAUCAGAGGCGAAGGCGGCUCACUGGUCCGAUACUGACGCUAAGGUGCGAAAGCGUGGGGAGCUAACAGGAUU